UUUUAUUUAUACAGGGUGAAAUUUUGAACUGGAAUAAACUCAGUAUUGAGCCUAUUUAUUUGUUGAAAAAAUAAAGGAUUACCGGUUCUUUCAUUUUCAGUUUGGCCUUAGAACAUUGAAAGGCUAGAAUUAGUAAACAACAACUUUGUUUGAGUCCAACAUGUGCACAGGGGCAAGAGGGGUGUGUUGUUUACAAACAUAUUUGCCGAUUCUCUGUUGUCAAGUCGACGCGAAUUUCCAACGAAGGAAAUUUUUUGCUAUAUUUUAACAACCAUUAUAACGUUAAUUUAACUUACUUGUGUUAUAUUUUAUAGGAAAAUUUAAAUUAAAAAAAUAUAAAUACUACAAUUAACCUAUUUAAGAAUAAAUAUAAUAUCCUUAGGCAAAAAAAAAAACAAAAUUAUUAACAUUCUUAUCCCUAAAACCGUUUCUAAAAAAUUUGAAGCGACAACACCGGAACUUAAGCGCCUGAGCCAUACGCAUAGUGUCAUCUGUCAAACGGCUUUUUGUUUAUGUUCGGGAUUCGUGUAUUUUCUUUAAUUUUUUGGUUUCAAAAGGAAAAAGGCCCCAUUUUAGUGUUUUUUUAAAUUGCUAGGAUGGCAAAAACUUGUGUCGUUUGUGCCGCAUCAUGAUAAAAAGGUGAUUCAAGCCGAUCUUUUCACAAGAUUUCUGAUGCACUGGUUAAAAACACAGCAGCCGAUAAUUCAGUUAAUUUACCAAGUGAUUUACCCUUCAAAGCUGCAAGGGUAGUUUUCCUGAAGAGUGCAAAAACUUCUUUAGCUUCCAAAAUGAUAUAAAGUACAAACAGUGAAGCUAAUAUAGACAAAUCUGAUCAUUCAUCAUCAACAAUAACUGCAUCUGAGAUUAAUAGUUACUGUGGGGUCUAGGUCAACAAUUACUAUUUCCCAUCCAAUCCGUUUUUGUUUAACUGCUACACAUUCCCUGACUCUGCCAAGGAAAAGGUAAAAAUACACUCAAAAUAGACAUCAUUAUAGCACAUUUAAAAAUUAUUGUUCAAUUCUUUCUCUAAGUACAAAUAAGAC